rnacentral:rRNA from 1 species
CUCCUACGGGAGGCAGCAGUGGGGAAUCUUGCGCAAUGGACGAAAGUCUGACGCAGCCACGCCGCGUGAGUGAAGAAGGCCUUCGGGUUGUAAAGCUCUGUCGGAGGGGACGAAAAUGCGGUCGGUGAAUAGCCGAUCGUACUGACGGUACCCUCAAAGGAAGCACCGGCUAACUUCGUGCCAGCAGCCGCGGUAUAC